AUUGGGUGUGAGUCUUGCAGUGAGGGACAUUAACGGCAGCUUCGUCAGUACUCUGAGUGUACAUGUGAUGGACAAACCAGGGUCGAGUUGAACGGAGCGUCUCAGAAUGCACACUUCUCCUUUGAGACCUUCCGUUUCAUUGAACACAAGAACAUGACCGUCUCCACUUUCUACCUGCACUGUGUCACCCGACUCUGUGAGGUGUCCUCCUGCUCGUCCUUACUGCCCAACUGUUCAGGUUCCUCCGGGAGAAAGAGAGAAGCCCAGGGAGUGUUGACUAACGACCAGGCCACAAUCUCCUCCGGACCCAUUAAGACCAAAGUGGACGACGGUGCGGCCGUACUGUACCACUGGACCAGUGGUGUGAUAUGAUAGCAAACAUUAAUGAUAUACCAGACAUGAAUGAAUGACACUUGAUGAGAGUGAAAUUGAUUAGUCACCUCAUUGCUCAUGCAGUAUGAGUAAUUAAAUGGAUUGUAAUGUAAGUCAUUUCAUUCUUGACCAUCUUAUUCUGUUUC